rnacentral:rRNA from 1 species
UUAGAGUUUGAUCUUGGCGCAGGAUGAACGCUAGCGGCAGGCUUAACACAUGCAAGUCGAGGGGCAGCGAGAUCAGUGCUUGCACUGAUUGUCGGCGACCGGCGCACGGGUGCGUAACGCGUAUGCAACCUACCCAUUACAGGGGGAUAACACUGAGAAAUCGGUACUAAUACCCCAUAACAUCCAGGGAGGCAUCUUCUUGGGUUGAAAACUCCGGUGGUAAUGGAUGGGCAUGCGUUGUAUUAGUUAGUUGGUGGGGUAACGGCUCACCAAGACAACGAUACAUAGGGGGACUGAGAGGUUAACCCCCCACAUUGGUACUGAGACACGGACCAAACUCCUACGGGAGGCAGCAGUGAGGAAUAUUGGUCAAUGGACGCAAGUCUGAACCAGCCAUGCCGCGUGCAGGAAGACGGCUCUAUGAGUUGUAAACUGCUUUUGUACGAGGGUAAACGCAGAUACGCGUAUCUGUCUGAAAGUAUCGUACGAAUAAGGAUCGGCUAACUCCGUGCCAGCAGCCGCGGUAAUACGGAGGAUUCAAGCGUUAUCCGGAUUUAUUGGGUUUAAAGGGUGCGUAGGCGGUCGGAUAAGUUAGAGGUGAAAUCCCGGGGCUCAACUUCGGAAUUGCCUCUGAUACUGUUCGGCUAGAGAGUAGUUGCGGUAGGCGGAAUGUAUGGUGUAGCGGUGAAAUGCUUAGAGAUCAUACAGAACACCGAUUGCGAAGGCAGCUUACCAAGCUACUUCUGACGUUGAGGCACGAAAGCGUGGGGAGCAAACAGGAUUAGAUACCCUGGUAGUCCACGCAGUAAACGAUGAUAACUCGUUGUCGGCGAUACAGUGUCGGUGACUAAGCGAAAGCGAUAAGUUAUCCACCUGGGGAGUACGUUCGCAAGAAUGAAACUCAAAGGAAUUGACGGGGGCCCGCACAAGCGGAGGAACAUGUGGUUUAAUUCGAUGAUACGCGAGGAACCUUACCCGGGCUUGAAAGUUAGUGACGGAUCUUGAAAGAGGUCUUCCCUUCGGGGCACGAAACUAGGUGCUGCAUGGUUGUCGUCAGCUCGUGCCGUGAGGUGUCGGGUUAAGUCCCAUAACGAGCGCAACCCCUACCGUUAGUUGCCAGCAGGUCAAGCUGGGCACUCUGACGGGACUGCCGGUGUAAGCCGAGAGGAAGGUGGGGAUGACGUCAAAUCAGCACGGCCCUUACGUCCGGGGCUACACACGUGUUACAAUGGCAGGUACAGAGGGCAGCUACCCAGCGAUGGGAUGCGAAUCUCGAAAGCCUGUCUCAGUUCGGAUUGGAGGCUGAAACCCGCCUCCAUGAAGUUGGAUUCGCUAGUAAUCGCGCAUCAGCCAUGGCGCGGUGAAUACGUUCCCGGGCCUUGUACACACCGCCCGUCA